GAAAUCUUUGGGGCUAGAGAGAUCCAUGCUUCAUUCAGAGCACUCAAGUUCAGUUCUCAGCUCCCUUGUCAGACAGCUCACAAUUGCUUAUAAUUUUAGUUCUGGGGUGUGUGACCCCACUCCUGCACAUUUGUGGCAUGUAGACAGGGCAUCCUGUUUCUGUGCAUUACACACAUUAAAAAUACCCUUUACCUCUUGAGCCAACUCAUCAACAACUGUGAAUCCUUCUAUUUUUUAAAAAUUAUGUUAAAUCCAUUGAUACUGUAAUUAUACAAUGUAUCUUUUUCUAGAAGAAUUUUGAGCAUCUAUUAAAGUUAGGUGUUUAAAUCUCAUUACACUAGAGAGGUGAGCUACUACUAGUCUGGUAAUAUACUAUAGUAGUGAUUCUUUAAAAGAAGUGAGUGGAGGUUACCAUGGUACCCCUUUCUAAUAUAGCCCCCUCCUACUUGGUAGAUGGAGCAAAGUGGUUAAGACCAUAAAAUUAUAAUAUUGUACACUAGACUUAGGUCAUUUCUUUCAUGAUGAAAACUAUUUGCUGGGUGUGGUAGCAUAUCCCUUAAUCCUAAUACUGGGGAGGCAGAGAUCUCAAGUUCAAGGACAGCCUGGUCUACAGAGCAAGAUCCAGGACACAAAGAAACCUUGUCUCACCUUCCAGAUGAAAACCCCAAGAAUCAAAAAAGAAAAGUAUUGGAUGUGUAGUUUCUUAAAUGCUGUUGUCUCCGUUGUGUCUAUGGCACUUAUAUUCAAACAUUUGGCGUAAAAGUUUCCCUUUGUAUUCAAAAUGGCUUAUGUAAAAUCUUUGACCUAUAUGACUAUGUAACUGAUUGAUCAUUUAUAAGACCUCCUGUCCCAGUCCUUCUCUUAAUACUAUGAUCUGAACGUGCCUUCCUGAAAUUCAUGUGGAACUCUAAAUCUUCAAGAUGAUGGUUUGGGGUAGAUGAGAAAUGUAAUAUCUUUUUUUUUUUUUUUUUUUUUUCUACCUGCCUCUGGCUUUAAAGGUGUGUGCCACCAACUCUGGGCAAAUGUAAAGCCCUUUUGCAUGACAUUAGUGUCCUUAAAAAGAGACUGCAGACAGCUAGUUUCCCCCUUCUAUGUGAAGGCACAGAAAGAGAAUGCUGUUGAUCCAUACCACCAUGAUCUUAGACUUUGUGUUCUGGAACUAUGAGAGAUACAUUGCUCUUGUUUGCAAGCCAAUCAGUUACGAGCAUUUUGUUCUGUGUGGCUCAGACUGAAGACAAUUUUGUCCAGUGCAUUUUGACAUUAGUCACAUUCAUAUUUCUGUGUUCCCUUUAUCAAAACUUCCCACCACUGAUUUCUUCAGUGUUACCUCACCUGGCAGCGCGUGUGAAGAAGCUCAGUGACUAAGAUUUCUUGACCACUUUACCUUGCGGUGAACAAUUUCAGAUAGUCCCAUGCACCUUGGGAAUAGUUUUGCUAAUCUAAUGUUUUUUUCCUGAUUUCUUCUGUUCCUGUUUGACUCAGUUGAUAAAGAUAACUUCUACUUACUGGAAAAAAAUCCAGGCUAUAAGCUUUCUGUCAUUGUGGUGUGUACCGUUCUACCAUUUUGUGGACUAAACAAAAGAGGAAUCUUGUAUUUUUAGGAAUCUAGCUGCCACAUUUAACUUUUUCCCCUCUCAUUGCGUCAUUAUCUGUGAAGGUUUAUUUCCCUUGCUUUCAAAUGUACAGACAUAAAAUGGAAGAAGAAAAUAAACUUGAGAGUUACCUUU
rnacentral:lncRNA from 1 species